rnacentral:lncRNA from 10 species
GCCGGAGUCUGGGGCCUGGCGGGAGGGACGCGCCCUGGGCCCUCGCGGGGGUGUCUUGGUCGCCGGGUCCCUUUGCCUAGGCAGCGCGGGUCUCCUGCAAACUUCAGACAGAUUUCCACCUCUUUCCGAGCUCCGCCAGGCUAGGAUCAGGCAGGGUCCCUUUGCUUUCUCAGUUUCUGUCUGGGUGAUUCACGCUGCUUUAUGUAAAUCUCUGGGAAUGUCUCCGAGCCACAGAGGAUGUGAUUCCAGCGGAAAGAGGAACCCGCUGUAGCCAACAACUUUGAACCGACACUCCCUUUUCCGAGCUCGCACAUCAGCACCAAUCAGUAUUGGCCGCUCUGCCUUUCCCAACGGACUCCCAGGGAAUGAAGCCUCGCUGUGCACGUGCCCCUUGAACACCUAGGCCAUCUCCCAUUCAUUCAUGCAUCCAUUCAACACAGCGACUGCCCCUCAGUUCUGGUUCUGCUUACCAGAAGCAAAAUCCACAGAUCCGGGUCCCAGUGCUGCUGAAAUUUACAUUCCAGUGGGACUCUCAGGUUGCUAAGAGAGAUUAUAGCCAUCCAACCUCGUGUUGGGGAGAGGGGAGUCAGGGACGACUUUUCGAAAGAAAUGAUACCGUUUUGUCCAUGAGGAAACUGAGGCACAGAGAAGGGAUGGGUGUUGCUCAGGAUUGCACAAUUAGCAA